rnacentral:lncRNA from 1 species
UUUAUGACCGGUCGACUUUCAAUGUAUUCAAAUCCUCUUCGGUUUUAUAAUUUUAUUUAUAUUAUUGAAAUUUGAUGACCAAAUUAAGUUUAAAACAUAAAAUGAUACACAGGAAUUUGAAUGGGAUCUAGCAAUCGCCCAUGCAUACACACACUUUACCUACGGGGUAUUUAGAUGCAGUAUUACACUCACCAUCUUUGUAUAGGAAUUUCUGGCAUUGGACUUUACAAUCGCUAUCUUUGGUGCAAGAAUUAUUAGUGAAAUCCUUGGGACAUAACUUCUUUUCUACAAUUUCCAUCUUUUUUACAGCCCCUGUCAAAUCUUCUUCGAUCAUUCUUUCUGUACUACCUAAUUCAUCCUCAUUGGAAUCAUAAAAAUAUUAGAUCCAGGAAAUUCGAGAACUAAAGAUUAAAAUAAGACAAGAAUCUAGGAUUACCUAAUGGAAACCAGAGGAACAACACAGCAACGGUAAAAAGGCAAAUGAACAUAAAUCCCUCAAUUCCUCCAACUUUGGCCAUCUCUUGUUUACAAUUCUAUUCAAAUGGAAGAACUGGAAGAAAGAAAGAAUGAUUUUUUGAGUUCCUGAAAAUCCAAUCACAUUGAAAUAUAUAGGAAUGAAAUAUAUUGGAAAAUAAUUAAUUUUGAUUUUUUUAG